CUGUAGUUUUUGUUUUUCUUUCCAGAUUUCAACUCUAACUUCAAAUAGCUAUAGCUUUUAUUCUGUAUACCCAAAUUAGGUAAUUCUUUUUCCUAUGAUCUCACAAAAAUCAGCACAAUAUCACAGUACCAACUUUGCACAUGUUUGCUCUGUUCAAAUUUGAAUUCGUUCGAAUUUGAAUUAAACCUUCCGGCGGCCGUAUCUCUCAAACCGCUUAUCAAAUUCGAGUGAUUCUUUUUGCAUUGUGACCGUAGUGCAAUUUAGGUGCUGUUAAGCUUCUGUUGUUGUGUUUUUGAAAUGAUUUUCUUGCUGUUGGUUUUAUUUUGGUUCGAUUCGUGUUCCGAUGAUUGAUUUGUUGAAUUGUGUGAAACGUGUAGAUUGUCCGGAGUGCGACGCGAACUAUUGUCAGGAGUGUGACUUUCUGAACCAGAACCAAGGCAAGUUACAUGUUGAUCAUCCUUUACCUAUUGUUUUCUAUGCAUGUAGUUAUAUCACACUAUAAAUAUCUGCAUGUAUAGGAUUACUAUAUUAUUUUGCUAUAUGCUGUUGAGCUAUCUUCCCGUCUUUUGCAAACCGUGGUAGUUGUAGUUGCUAUGCUUUGUAGACGGGGGUGGUUCGUGUUUACAUUGAGAUUUUUUGAGGAUUAUAAAUAUAAUCAAAUUUUUUUAUUGAGGACUUAAUUCACCUCUGGGCAGAAUUGGUAUUGAAGGGUGGUUUCAAGAACAUCAUGGUUUUUACCCUCUGAAUGUAAGUGGACGGCCGCCCAGGUUCAAAAAGAUCAGACAGACUUAGUGACUAGUAGCUUCCAUGUAUGGCCACUGGCUAUAUGGGCUCUGGCUUAGUUGAUCAGUUGUUGGAACCCUUUCCCAGACAAUGUCGACAGAUGUAGCAUAUGUAGGUGGGAUGUGGCCGUCAGGUGGUUAAGGGAACCUCUUCUGAAAGACUUCGUCUCAAUCUUCGGAUUGGGUCCAGUGGGUAAAGCGUACAAAACUCUGCAGAGUAUUAAAACUAAUCAUGAUUUGCCGUGCCCCCAGUUAUGGGUAAAUUUGAGCCACUAUGCCAUUACAGUUGUUGGAUGAUCUUGACAGAUGUGACACUUAAUAAUAUUUGUGGGCAACUUAAUAAAGGGUAGGUUGGAGUUGAUUUUGCCAACUCAACCUUGUGUAUUUAAUUGUAGUAAUAAAAGAACUAAAUAAAAAUUUGACUAAUAGGUAGUUAUGAGGACAAAAUCAGCUUUCUGCAAAAAUAAACCCUCAAGCCUUUCUUUUGUUGUACUAUGCAUAUACAUGUAGGUCUGCUAUUAUUACUCCUGUGUAACUUGCCAAUACAUUCAAAGUAUUGACCUAUAUGGCUGCAACGUCUAAUGUUGCAGGAUAUUCAGACGAAGAGUACGGUACCGUUAGGGUCGCGACCUGCACUUAGCAUCGCCAGUGGGCUAUGAUGGGACUCAUCGUUAUUUUCUGCUACAUUUCCGCUGUUUGAUUGGAUAAAGCUAGCCAAGUGCUAUGCAGAUUGUUUUAUUUUAUAUAUUCUGGAUCAUACGAUGUAAUAAAUGAUGCACUUGCUAUUCUGGUAUUCAUCUAUACUGUGUGUGCUAGCGAGUUCGAUCCAGGGACUAGCAUGGUAAGCACAGAGACUCAAAUCCUUCGAGAUUUGGUCGUUACAGAUGGCAUCAGAGCAGUGUGUUGACUAUAGGAUGUGACCCUAGAAAAUGGAUUAGAAAAGCCAUAGGAGUGAAAAUUAUUUAUCAACUAGUUAUACUUCUUACUAUUUUUUAGUUAAGCCCCUCAAGUAUGUUGCCAGUUAAGUAGGAACUAGUGCCGAGACCACCAUUCACGCUUGUUUUAUAUUGCAACGUUAUCGUGUUAGCGUAUUUGAUUAUGCCCAACUUUGUGGUAUGAAGAUACUAGAUUGUUUGCUUGAUUGGUAGUUUGUUUGUUAAUUUAUAUCUCGUCGAAAUUAUUCGACUAUAUAUAUAUAUAAUAUUAUCAUAUUAUUGUUUGUUGUUUGUUGUUUGUGUGUUGGUGUUAUUCGUUGUUGUGUUUUGUUGGCUUGAUCAUAUUAUGCCUAUGGGUAGAAUAUAUUUAUAUAUAUAGUCUUUAGCCCUAUUAUAUCUAUAACUCAUCUAUUCUUGCCAACCAAAACCCUUAGUAUGCCUAUUAGAGUGAGUUCCCCAGGAGCUGAGAUGAUAGCAGGUGUUGGUUGUCAUCAGUUGACCUUGUCUAUUGGGAAGCAUGAGUUUCCUACAGAUUUGAUUAUAUUAAAGUCACAAGGUCUGGAUAUUAUUUUGGGUAUGGAUUGGUUGCAGUUAUAUAAAGGUCGUAUUGAUUGUGCCAGUCGAUCUAUUACUCUCAGUGCACCAGGAGGGAAGAGGAUCAAAUAUGUGUGUAAGUAUAAGCGUAAUCAGGUGCAGGUGAACUCUCUUAAGGGGGGUAGCCUGGAAGAGGUGCCAGUUGUCAGGGAUUAUCCAGAUGUGUUUCCAGAGGAGUUGCCAGGUAUGCCACCAGAUAGAGAUAUUGAGUUUCUUAUUGAUUUAAUACCAGGCACUGGACCUAUUGCAAAGAGACCAUAUAGAAUGCCUCCUCAAGAGUUGGAGGAAUUGAAGAAGCAGAUAAGAGAAUUGCAGGCACAAGGAUUUAUUCGCCCAAGUUCAUCACCUUGGGGAGCUCCAGCUUUGUUUGUGGAGAAGAAGGAUGGGACCUUGAGGAUGUGUGUUGAUUAUCGUUCUUUGAAUGAGGUAACCAUUAAGAAUAAGUAUCCCUUGCCCAUGAUAAAUGAUCUAUUUGACCAGUUAGAGGGAGCUACUGUGUUUUCUAAGAUAGAUCUUCGUUCUGGUUAUCAUCAAUUAAAGAUUCGUGAGCAAGAUAUUCCCAAGACUGCUUUCACCAUGAGGUAUGGGUUGUAUGAAUAUACUGUUAUGUCAUUUGGAUUGACUAACGCUCCUGCAUACUUCAUGCAUAUGAUGAACAAGGUGUUUAUGGAGUUCUUGGAUAAAUUUGUGGUUGUUUUCAUUGAUGAUAUAUUGGUGUUCUCCAAGAAUAAGCAAGAGCAUGAGGUGCAUCUGCGUUUGGUAUUGGAGAAAUUGAGGGAGCAUCAGUUGUAUGCCAAGUUUAGCAAAUGUGAGUUUUGGCUGGAUGAGGUAGCAUUCCUUGGACAUGUUGUGUCAGGUAAUGGAGUUGCAGUUGAUCCAUCUAAGGUUGCUGCAGUUACAGAGUGGGAGACACCCACGACAGUUGGAGAGAGUCGCAGCUUUUUGGGCCUUGCAGGUUAUUACAUGAGGUUUAUUGAGAACUUCUCCAGGAUUGCAAAGCCUAUGACUGAAUUGUUGAAGAAGGAGAAGAAGUUUGUUUGGACUGAUGAAUGUGAAGCCAGCUUUCAGGAAUUGAAGCAGCGUUUGGUUACAGCACCAGUCUUAACACUGCCGGAUAUACAUAAGGACUUCCACGUAUAUUGUGAUGCUUCUCGUCAAGGACUUGGGAGUGUUUUGAUGUAGGAAGGUAAUGUUGUUUCAUAUGAUUCACGUCAGCUUAAGAAUCAUGAGCAUAAUUAUCCUACACAUGAUUUGGAGUUAGCCUCAGUUGUGCAUGCAUUGAAAACUUGGAGGCCAUACCUUAUUGGUAAUCGUUGUGAUAUAUUUACUGAUCAUAAGAGCUUGAAGUAUAUUUUUACUCAGAAGGAUUUAAACCUCAGGCAGAGGAGAUGGUUGGAGCUUAUUAAGGAUUACGAUUUGAAUGUGCAGUAUCAUCCUGGUAAGGCUAAUGUUGUUGCUGAUGCAUUGAGUCGUAGGAGCCAUGCUAAUGCAAUUAAUAUUGAUAAUAUGCCACCCGAGUUAUGUGAACAAUUCAGGAAUCUCAGGUUGGAGAUGGUUCCUAAGGGAUAUUUGGCAACACUUGAGGUAAAGCCUACUUUGCUUGACAGGAUUAGAGAAGCUCAAAAGGGUGAUAAGGAGAUUGCUGAGAUAAAAGAGAACAUGGUUAAAGGUAAAGCAGAAGGUUUCCAUGAGGAUGAACAUGGGGCCAUAUGGUUUGAGAAGCGUAUUUGUGUACCUCAGGAUGCAGACAUCAAGAAGUUGAUUCUUCAGGAGGCGCAUGAUUCACCUUAUUCUAUUCACCCAGGUAAUACUAAGAUGUAUUUGGAUUUGAGGGAAAGAUUUUGGUGGCCUAUCCUGAAGAGGGAAAUUGCUGGAUAUAUUGCAACAUGUGAUGUGUGCCAGAGAGUUAAAGUAGAACAUCAGAGACCAGCAGGUUUGUUACAACCAUUGCCUAUACCUGAUUGGAAGUGGGAUGAUAUUGGUAUGGAUUUUAUUACAGGUCUACCCAGGACUCGGUCAGGUUAUGAUUCUAUUUGGGUAGUUGUUGAUCGUUUGACUAAAGUUGCUCACUUCAUCCCGGUAAAGACUACUUAUACCAGUUCUCAGCUAGCAAAAAUUUAUAUGUCUAAAAUUGUUUGUCUGCAUGGAGUUCCAAGGAAGGUAGUGUCUGAUAGAGGUACUCAGUUCACAUCCAAAUUUUGGCGUCAGUUGCAUGAAUCCUUGGGCACCAGGAUGGAGUUCAGUACAGCUUUCCAUCCACAGACAGAUGGGCAGACAGAGAGGGUAAAUCAGAUUUUGGAGGAUAUGUUGAGAGCUUGUGCUUUGGACUAUGGGUCCAGUUGGGAUGAUAAUUUACCUUAUGCAGAGUUCUCAUAUAAUAACAUUUAUCAGGCUAGUCUGAAGAUGGCACCAUUUGAGGUAUUGUAUGGCAGAAAGUGCAGGACACCAUUGAUGUGGGAUGAGGUUGGAGAGCGUCAGUUCUUUGGGCCAGACUUGAUCAGAGAUGCUGAGGAGAAGUCAAGUUGAUUCGUGAUAGACUGAAGAUAGCACAAUCCAGACAGAAGAGUUAUGCAGAUGCGAAACGUAAGGAGGUGACACAUGAGGUAGGAGACCGUGCAUAUCUUAGAGUUUCACCACUUCGUGGAAUUAAGAGGUUUGGAAUUAAGGGUAAGUUAGCACCACGUUUUGUAGGGCCUUACACGAUCUUGGAGCGUAGAGGAGAGGUAGCUUAUCAGCUGGAGUUGCCAGAAUCCUUGUCAGGAGUUCACAAUGUGUUUCAUGUAUCUCAGUUGAAGAAGUGUCAUGCAGAGAUGAUGGAUGUUUCAUUGAGGGACACAGUGCCACUUGAGGCACUUCAGUUGGAGAGUGAUUUGACAUAUGAGGAGAAGCCUGUUAAGAUUCUGGAGACAGCAGAGAGAGUUACUCGCACCAAGACAAUCAAGUUAUGCCAGGUUCAGUGGGAUCAUCAUACAGAGGAGGAAGCUACCUGGGAACAAGAGGAAGAUCUCAAGCAGGAUCACCCACACCUAUUCGCUAGCCAGCCCGAAUCUCGAGGGCGAGAUUCAUCUUAAGGGGGGUAGGUUUGUAACAUCCCAAUUUUAAUUAAUUAGGAUGUUAUUAGAUCAUACAUAUGCAUAUCAUAUUUUCCAUGCAUUAUUUGCUCUUCUGCAAUAUUCUUUUCAUUAUGCAACUAAAGACAAUUUAUUGGAGUGGAGAUAAAAUGACUUCUCCCCUGUUUAAAAAUGUUCAUAAUGUCAAGAAUAUUAUUUCCAGAUCAUCUGUUACGUUCUGGUAUUUUUAUUAGUCUCCAAAAUAUUUUACUUGUGUGUUUUGUUGCUGUUUUGUGUGGCCUAUUGCAUAAAUGAUUUUCCAAAAUUGCAUUAGGUGAGGAACUAGUGUUCCUGUAGUUUAUAUUAGUAGUAAAUAUUUUACUGUGUGUAUAUGUAUUUUUGUUUAGUUUUUAUUAUGUUGUUUUUAUUUUUAGUUUAACUGCUGUAGCAGUUUUGUGUUCUAAAAAAAACAGCCAGCCAGCCAGCAGUGCACACGCGCGGCCCAGCAACCGCGGCCCAGCCAACCGCCAGCCCCGCAGCCCGCUCGCUCGCAGUCGUUGCCGAAGCGGUACGCCCGCUCGCUCGCACCCGACCCGCGCCCGAUCCACCCCUCGCCUCCAGCCGCUGACAGCGGGUCCCGCGUCCUGCUCGUCUCCUUCCCCGAGCCGGACUGGAGCGCACGUACACGCGACCGAGGCCGAGCCCGGAUCGAUCUGCGCCCCUGUUUGAUCCCGUGCGAAAAACCCUACCGGAGCCCUUCUCCGUCCUUUCCUCGUCCGCACGAGCAGCUAGGGCGAAACGGAUCUCGCCGGAGGAGCUCCAAGUCCGCCGGACGCUGCCGUCGCCGUAAGAACUCGCAGGGCCGCGCCGCCUGUUUCCUUCGCUUUCCCCCUCGAAGCCACGCUUCGCUGACUUAUUUUCGUGGGCAGAGAGCCACCGGAGCGAGCAACUCAAGCUCGUCCACCGCCGCCGGAGCACACCGCGUUCACGUUGUCACCGCCGCCCGCAGAGGAUGCCCCGCCACCGAUGAACACCACCACCACCUCCGCCACUCACCGCCGCACCCGUACGCCCUUCAUCUUCACCGGAGACCCACCGGAGGACCGCCGCCGACCGCCGCCGCCGUUUUCCUCUGUUUCCGGUGAGCACGCACGCGCAGGAGUUUUUCCACCAAUCACCCGCUGCCACGUGGCACUUCGCUACAGGAACAACACGGGAGUUCGCUACAAGACACGCACAGGAGUUGCUACAGUUCGUGUGAACUGUGCAGGAGAUUUCUGUAGUUUUUGUUUUUCUUUCUAGAUUUGAACUCUAACUUCAAAUAGCUAUAGCUUUUAUUCUAUAUACCCAAAUUAGGUAAUUCUUUUUCCUAUGAUCUCACAAAAAUCAGCACAAUAUCACAGUACCAACUUUGCACAUGUUUGCUCUGUUCAAAUUUGAAUUCGUUCGAAUUUGAAUUAAACCUUCCGUAGGCCGUAUCUCUCAAAUCGCUUAUCAAAUUCGAGUGAUUCUUUUUGCAUUGUGACCGUAGUGCAAUUUAGGUGCUGUUAAGCUUCUGUUGUUGUGUUUUUGAAAUGAUUUUCUUGCUGUUGGUUUUAUUUUGGUUCGAUUCGUGUUCCGAUGAUUGAUUUGUUGAAUUGUGUG
rnacentral:lncRNA from 1 species